GACGAACCGUGCGAACGUUGUUCGGAAUCACUGGGCUUAAAGGGCGCGUAGGCGGGCUGUCAAGUCUGGGGUGAAAUCCCUGGGCUCAACCCAGGAACUGCGUCCGAUACUGGUUGGCUUGAAUCCGGGAGAGGGACGUGGAAUUCCAGGUGUAGCGGUGAAAUGCGUAGAUAUCUGGAGGAACACCGGUGGCGAAGGCGACGUCCUGGACCGGCAUUGACGCUGAGGCGCGAAAGCCAGGGGAGCAAACGGG
rnacentral:rRNA from 1 species